ACUUGCAGGAUUGGGCCCUUAAUUAAAAUUAGGAACUUCCCAAGAUGAUAGCUAUUCUAAAGGAGCUGUAAAUAUAGUGAGCAGAAUUAUUGGCAUUUACAUCGGUUUUUCUUUUUUACACUCCUGGGGUUGCCCAAUGACACCCCCCCCCAACGCUUUAAAAACCAAACACAUUCAGAAGAAAAGCAGUGUCAUAAACAACAUAUUGGAAGAUUUAGUCCCUUUUAUAUUCACUGCCAAUUCAUUUGGGUUUAUGAUGAUUUAAAUGCACAAGCCAAACAAGGACAAGAGAAAUGAAAGGCUGCUGAGAGACAAAAGUUCUUGCAAAGCUUUCUAGGACAAAGGCAGAAGAAGGUUUCAUUCUCUUGCAGAAAAUCAAGGCUCUAAAUGUGACUGUAAUAUGAGGGGGAUAAUGAACACUCCGGAGGUGAUGAGGUACCUAACUAUGUGAUGCAAAUACUACUUUAACUCCUUGUUAAGUCAACGAUCAUAUUCUAGAAAAAUAGAAUUUGACCACAAGAUUGAAAGGCUUUCAAUUACAGAACAGCAAAAGACAAGCCACGCUGGAUCAGACCAGGUCCAUCUAUUCCAACAUCCUGAGUCCAAAGAACCCUUCAGAAGACAUAACAGUAACAUCUAUAAAUGGGGAACAAAGACCCUGACCCCAAAUUACUGCAUUCAGGUGAUCACCUUCCUAUAUAUAUAUGAACUGCAUCUUACAUAUAUGUGAACUCCACAUGUAUAGGUUUGUCCAUACAACUGGGGACCUACUAUAGGUCCAAGCACAUGCGUAGAUCAUAUGUACAAUUGGUAUCCAUAUUGGAUCUGUAGAACAACUGAGAAAGAGAUGGGACCCUGCUUCCACAAUCCCACUCC